rnacentral:rRNA from 1 species
AUUGAACGCUGGCGGUAUGCUUAACACAUGCAAGUCGAACGGCAGCAUUACCCGCUUGCAGGUAGAUGGCGAGUGGCGAACGGGUGAGUAACGCGUAGGAAUAUACCUUUUAGUGGGGGACAACUCGGGGAAACUCGAGCUAAUACCGCAUAUGCUCUGAGGAGUAAAGUUGGGGACUUUCGGGCCUGACGCUAGAAGAUUAGCCUGCGUACGAUUAGCUAGUUGGUGGGGUAAAGGCCUACCAAGGCGACGAUCGUUAGCUGGUCUGAGAGGAUGAUCAGCCACACUGGGGCUGAGACACGGCCCAG